rnacentral:rRNA from 1 species
ACGGCUCAGUAACACGUGGACAACCUACCCUGAGGUCGGGGAUAAACCCGGGAAACUGGGUAUAAUACCCGAUAGAUCUAGAUCGCUGGAAUGCUUUUAGGUCUAAAGUUCCGACGCCUCAGGAUGGGUCUGCGGCCUAUCAGGGUAGUAGUGGGUGUAAAGUACCUACUAGCCUACGACGGGUACGGGUUGUGAGAGCAAGAGCCCGGAGAUGGAUUCUGAGACACGAAUCCAGGCCCUACGGGGUGCAGCAGGCGCGAAACCUUUACAAUGCUGGCAACAGCGAUAAGGGGACCUCGAGUGCUACGAUACAAUCGUGGCUGUCUAGUUGCCUAAAAAGCAAUUGAUAGCAAGGGCCGGGCAAGACCGGUGCCAGCCGCCGCGGUAACACCGGCGGCUCGAGUGGUAACCGCUAUUAUUGGGUCUAAAGGGUCUGUAGCCGGCUUAGUUAGUCUCUUGAGAAAUCUGGCCGCUCAACGGUCAGGCGUUCAGGGGAUACUGCUAAAGCUCGAGACCGGGAGAGGUGAGAGGUACUUCAGGGGUAGGGGUGAAAUCUUGUAAUCCUUGAAGGACCACCAGUGGCGAAGGCGUCUCACCAGAACGGAUCUGACGGCAAGGGACGAAAGUUAGGGGCACGAACCGGAUUAGAUACCCGGGUAGUCCUAGCCGUAAACGAUACUCGCUAGGUGUCGGCCACGGUGCGACCGUGGUCGGUGCCGUAGGGAAGCCGUGAAGCGAGCCACCUGGGAAGUACGGCUGCAAGGCUGAAACUUAAAGGAAUUGGCGGGGGAGCAC